GUUUUAUUUGUUAAAUUUCAGAUUUAAAAUACAAUAUAAUUCAUGUUUUUUUUUUUAAUUUGUUGAUUUAUUUUUUGUCCUGUUUGAAAAAAAGUGACCAAAAAUUGUUCUUUUCCAUGAGGCCUCACACAAAAUGUGUGAUGAAUCAAAUUUGUUUCGCUAAUUUUUUCAGCUCCAGCUCUGCUGGGGAUUGUUGAGCUAAAUUGCCCACAUAAUCACUUCCACAAUGGUGAGAUUAACAACUUUUACUGUUUUCGCAGUCAUGCUUACGGUAGCAAUUUUCUGCAGUGAGGCAACUUCCAAAAAUAUCAAGACUGGCGGAAAUGAACCAGUUGUAGUUAUCCCAAUUUGGAUUAAAGCUGUAAAGCGGAAUUCAAAGAGGGACUUAACAUCUUUUUUGCUAGAUUAAAUUAAAACAAAACAAAUGAACAAACGCAAUAAAUUAUGAAAAACCAGUGAAAACCAUGUCAGCAAUUUUGCAAAAAAACAAAUUCUUGUCUUUAAACCCAA